AAAUGUUGCUGUAACUAAGCUUCACUAUGUAGCUCUGAAGCAUUUGGACCUGGCUCGGAGAAGGAAUCUAGGAAAGUGUGAAGAAGCAGAUGUGCUGUGACCAGAUGCUUCAAACUCCUCCUUCCAUCUUGACUUCCUUCCUGCCACAGUGGACUAUGUCCCAGAAGAGUGGGCAUAAUGAGUCCUUUCUUCCUUAAGAUUGCAGCCAUUUGAUAUAUAUGGAAAAUCAAUCCAUCUGUAGUUCAUGAAGAACAGCAUGGUUAGUGAAAGCUUGAAAUCGAAUAUAAUGAAUGUGUCAGAAACUGCCCUCCCCCUCCCAGGAAGAUGAAUCCAAAGAAGUUUCUAUGACACCGACUGACACUGCUCAAUUAAAUACAGCUUAUCCAGAUGACGACUGCCAAGGUUUCUAAGCAGAUGCCCAGAAGAAUGUGUGGCAGCUGACUGGAAGGAGCUUCAGACCAGAGCAGUCAACAGACACUGAGACUGCUACCAAGUGAAUCGGUGCUGAUGCUGCAACAAUAGGAGAGGCUGUUUCUAGUGCUGGUGCAGAAACAGCCUUGGCUGCCUUGUUGCUGCCUAGAUGCCAGAAAACCUUUGCUGAAGCCGCAACACCUUUAAUGGGCUCUCCUGGGACUUGCUGUGACUGAGUGUCUUCUGCUGGAUAGUUGCUUUCUUGUCUUGUUUGCCAUGUUACAGAAAUCUCUGCUUGAAAUUUUGGCACUUGUGGUAAUUAUGGAUAUAAUUUUCUGCAUCUUACUGUGAGUCUGAAAAUGUAGUGUUAGUGGCACAGAAAUCUAUGUUAUUUCUAAAGUCAUUUCCUAAAGAUAAAAACUAACUUUUGGCAAAAAUGAGGUAAUACAAAAAUAGACUUAUCUGAAAUUAAAAUGUA